rnacentral:rRNA from 1 species
CGCGUAGACGGUUUUGUAAGUCAGAUGUGAAAUCCCUGGGCUCAACCUGGGAACUGCAUUUGAAACUGCAUGGCUAGAGUAUGGAAGAGGGAAGUGGAAUUUCCGGUGUAGCGGUGAAAUGCGUAGAUAUCGGAAGGAACACCAGUGGCGAAAGCGACCUCCUGGUCCAAUACUGACGUUCAUGUGCGAAAGCGUGGGGAGCAAACAGGAUUAGAUACCCUGGUAGUCCACGCCAUAAACGAUGACAACUAGAUGUUGGGAGGGUCUGCCUCUCGGUGUCGCAGCUAACGCGUUAAGUUGUCCGCCUGGGGAGUACGGCCGCAAGGUUGAA